rnacentral:rRNA from 1 species
UAAAGCGCGCGUAGGUGGUUUGUUAAGUUGGAUGUGAAAUCCCCGGGCUCAACCUGGGAACUGCAUUCAAAACUGACUGACUAGAGUAAGGUAGAGGGUGGUGGAAUUUCCUGUGUAGCGGUGAAAUGCGUAGAUAUAGGAAGGAACACCAGUGGCGAAGGCGACCACCUGGACUAAUACUGACACUGAGGUGCGAAAGCGUGGGGAGCAAACAGGAUUAGAUCCCCUGU